rnacentral:rRNA from 1 species
AUGUACAUUCCUACAACGUAGUGUUAAUGCAUUGGAUCCAAUUAGAACUCCACAGUUAAGCAUGCUUGGGAUAGAAUAGUAGCGAUAUGGGUGACCACAUGGGAAUUCCUAGUGUUUUAAAUU